rnacentral:piRNA from 1 species
UCACAACCAUCUGGUUCUGUCUGCAUUCC